rnacentral:rRNA from 1 species
AGAAUCAACGCUGGCGGCGUGCCUAACACAUGCAAGUCGCACGAGAAAGCGGAGCAAUCCGUGAGUAAAGUGGCGCACGGGUGAGUAACACGUGAAUAAUCUACCUCCGAGUGGGGAAAUAACUGAGAGAAAUCUUAGCUAAUACCGCAUAACACUUACGAGUCAAAGCAGCAAUGCGCUUGGAGAGGAGUUCGCGGCCGAUUAGUUAGUUGGCGGGGUAAUGGCCCACCAAGACGAUGAUCGGUA